GAACGUUUAGCUCAGUUGGAAAGAGCGCUCGCUCAGAACGCGAGAGGUCGCGGGUUCGAGUCCCGUAUCGUUCA